rnacentral:misc_RNA from 1 species
UUUGAACAAAGUUUAUAUUAAAAGUUCAGGAUAUCGUCUGUCAGUUCCCAAGUGAGGUUUUUUGAAACUAGCUGAAUUAUUAGUUUCAAAUAGUAACAUGUGGUGGAGAAGACUAAUGGUUUCCCUGCUGCUUGCGCCUUGGUCGAUUCAAGCUUCGUUUUCAGAUUAUUCGGGAAAUGCUACUUCUCGCUGCCCGAGAUAUGUGAGGGAAGGAAAGUCAUUGAAGUGUGACUGUUUGGUAAGUAUCCCCGAGGUCUCAGUGCUGUGGCCAGGACACUCCAACAACAGCAUGCUGACAGUGCCGAAAGUCACCCGUGCUGAUAACGGUACAGUCUUCACCUGUCUUAUGACUUGGGAUGAACUCAAAACAACAGCAAACUACACACUUCAAGUGUCCUAUGGUCCAGACGAUCAUCACACACGGAUACAUGGCCCUGAUGUGUUGGUUACUGACGGAACGAAAUACUUUAAUUUCACCUGCCAGGCAACCGAUGUCUAUCCUCUCCCCAUAUAUACCUGGGACGGUGUCACGUGUCACAAUAGCGACACUGACACAGGACUUUGUGUACUGAAACCUCAGCCACCAUGGGAUGAUGGACUAAAGAUGCAGUGUACAGCAACAAGCAACACGACUUCACCCUCAGUUGGAAAGACGACACUCCGGCUGAAUCUAACAUAUCCACCCCCGAAACCUCCCAAAAUAGUUGGGUACAAAGCUGGACAAGUUCUCAAAAAUGGAGACAACCUUCACUGCCUUGUAUCCGGAGGAAAGCCGCUGGUGAAAGAAGUGAAUUUCUCGUGUUCCUCUGAUCCGCCUCAUGAAGAUCAACAGGACACGACCAAAGGUUCGUUGGUGGAAAGUUCUCUGACCAUCGGCGCUGUUGACUCAUCCAAUUACAGCAUGCAGUGUGUUUGUGGAGCCACCUGGGAAGCGGAUGAAGAUCUCUACUCACAAACUUCAAGUAUUACUGUCUUCGUACACAACAACGAUGAAGGGAUAUUUUUUGGAGAUGUAAAACUUGGAGUAACUGUCGGUCUUCCGGCUAUUAUCAUUAUCAUCGUAUUCAUCGCGGUUGCAGUUCAUGUGAAAACGAGGAAAACGCAAACAGGUCUGGCCAAAAAGAUCCCUGAAUCCUGCCAUCAGGGUAACGGCAAUGGGCAAACUCAUCAAACAUCGUCUCCAGAUUAUGAAGAAGUUGAUGAACUGGCAAUCCAGGAAUGUAGCAUUGGCACUAUCGUCGAGCAUAGUUCACACGUGCUCAGUGUUUCAAAAAGUAAAGCAUUUUCAUGUGAAAAUAUUGCAUGUAAAAUAUCAAAAUCCCAAAAGAUUUUUCAUUCCUGUUCUACGGGUUUGGACUCUGAAAAAAGAAUGGAAGUGUUCCUUACACCGGGGCUAGGAAUCAGUCCAGGGAAGACAACUCAGCUGUUGGCAGACUCCAAUGACGGUCAGUACACAGAAAUCGACAUACACAUCGAAGGAGAAUCGACGAUGGGAAAUCAUCUAAAUAACUUCACAACAGACACAGGUAAAGAUGUAUACACUCUGUGAGUAAUAACUCGUCUGUUAUGGCUACAAAAUGUUUGAAAGUAUGAAGAAGACCUCUCACAUAUUAAACUGUACAUGCUAGCAAAUGUAGCUAAAACAUAUCUUUUUUGGAGAAGGGUUAAAAUU